UGCAAAGGCACUUCUUAAAUCCCUGGC
rnacentral:sRNA from 1 species